GACGAACGCUGGCGGCGUGCUUAACACAUGCAAGUCGAACGGAAAGGCCCUGCUUUUGUGGGGUGCUCGAGUGGCGAACGGGUGAGUAACACGUGAGUAACCUGCCCUUGACUUUGGGAUAACUUCAGGAAACUGGGGCUAAUACCGGAUAGGAGCUCCUGCUGCAUGGUGGGGGUUGGAAAGUUUCGGCGGUUGGGGAUGGACUCGCGGCUUAUCAGCUUGUUGGUGGGGUAGUGGCCUACCAAGGCUUUGACGGGUAGCCGGCCUGAGAGGGUGACCGGCCACAAUGGGACGGAGAUACGGCCCAGACUCCUACGGGAGGCAGCAGUGGGGAAUAUUGCACAAUGGGCGGAAGCCUGAUGCAGCAACGCCGCGUGCGGGAUGACGGCCUUCGGGUUGUAAACCGCUUUCGCCUGUGACGAAGCGUGAGUGACGGUAAUGGGUGAAGAAGCACCGGCUAACUACGUG
rnacentral:rRNA from 1 species